UACGUAGGGGGCAAGCGUUGUCCGGAUUUAUUGGGCGUAAAGAGCGUGUAGGCGGUUCGGUAGGUCCGUUGUGAAAACUCGAGGCUCAACCUCGAGACGCCGAUGGAAACCCUCGAACUAGAGUCCGGAAGAGGAGUGUGGAAUUCCCGGUGUAGCGGUGAAAUGCGCAGAUAUCGGGAAGAACACCCGUGGCGAAGGCGGCACUCUGGGACGGUACUGACGCUGAGACGCGAAAGCGUGGGGAGCGAACAGG
rnacentral:rRNA from 1 species